rnacentral:ncRNA from 2 species
CCUCUGGAAAGCCCGGAGCCUGGCAACAGGCGCCGGCACCGACGGAGUAAGGCGCGCAAACGCCCGCGCUGAAUCUCUCAGGUCAUCGGACAGAGG